GUAGUUCUUUUGGGUGAAAUCCAUGUACAUUUAAGAUACACUGGAAAAAAAAAUGUAUACUAUAAUACAACACUUAAGUCAAAAAUGUUUUAUUACACAAACUUUUUAACACAGGAAAUGAACUAUUUUUGUUAUCUACAUUACAUUUGGAAAAACUAUUAAAAAAAAUAUAUUAACUGAAGCAUAUUUUAAAUAUAAUACAUACUUUAAUAUGGAUUAAAUACAUAUAAAUCCACAAAUAAAAAUAGUAAUUUCAAAUAAUAUACUUAAUGAUAUUAAUAUUAAUAUAGGUGUAAUAAAUCAAGGAAUUUUUUUAAAUUAAUUAGACAAUUAAAAAUGUAUCAAUAGUAUUUUUGUUAAUUAUACAUAAAAUAGUUGUUUUACAAUUUUAUAAUCAUUUUUUUUUUUU